rnacentral:lncRNA from 1 species
GGUAAGCUCGCCGGGAUGCCCUUGGUGGAGUAACAUACGGUGAAGUAAAGCUCACACAUGUUGUAAAGUCUGUCAUGCCUGUUCUCAUACACGAAACUAUUUCACUGAGGAGGAGAGAGCAGUUCACUGCCACAUGCUUCGUCCUGAGAUCCAUAAAAACUACCUUCUCUGUGUUGUGGCUUUCAGUGAUGGGGGUUUAACUUGUCUAGGUCCAGACACGGAUAUCGAGAACUUGCUGAAACCACCAAACUUUAAGUACAAAGUACACAUGCUAAACACAAGCCACAAACCACCGCCAGACAAGAGCUUAGAGUAAGCACCAGUAUUAUAAAGACCUACAGAGGCCAAGGCAGGAAGAUGGCUUGAGCUGAGGAGUUCAAGGCUGAAGUGAGCUAUCUCAGUGCGCCACGAAUUCCAUCCUGGGUGACAGAAUGAGACUCCAUCUCCACAAGAAGACCUAUGGAAAAUUACGUUCAUAUAGGGGUAUGUGAGAGAGAGACAUGGCAGUGAGGCCCAGUUAACAUUCUGCUCUAGCCAGUGACUCAUCUGAAAUUAGAAUGAUGGUGAUUAGUCAACCCGGAGGGAGGGGGUGUAUUAAAAUGUCACCUUCUUUUAUUACCUUUAGCCUUAUCGUGGCUUUAUUUAAAAAGUAAUAAAAUUUCUGCCCAGAA